AUGCUGCGCAGCACCGCUGCCAUCUCCCGGCGGCUCUCGGCGCACUCCCUGCGGAAGGCUCGCAUCUCCUGCACCAGGCGCUCGUUGCAGCGGAUGAGGCGCAGCUCGGCCGGGCUGAGCCGGGCGCUGCUUUCCGGGGUCCCGUCCGUCGCUCCGGGGGUUCCCCCCCCCGUUUCGCUGCAGUCACUGAGCUGUUCGGUGUCCGGCUCGAAGAUGACGCUGCUGGGAAAGUCGCAGCCCGGAGGUUCUGGUUGUAUCCCCAGGUCGGGCUGGGGGGGCUGCGGGGGGCUCCAGCCCUCGCCGGGUGUCUGGGUGCUGCUGCGGGGCUGCCGCCGCGCCGGGACGGCGCUGCCAUCCGUGGGGUCGUGGAAGGGCUCCGUCUUCACCUCCAUCGGUUCCUCCUUCACCGCCUCCUCCUUCACACCUGCGCAGGAUGCAGUGCUGUCACAUCGCUGUCACAUCGCUGCCACAUCGCUGCCACCCCCCACCCCCUGGUGGCCUUUGGGAGCCCCCGGUGCUGGGAUUUGGGGCAGGAAGCGCCGCGCCGUGGGGACACCCAACCCCACAGCACUCAUGUCCUGCAUCCCUGUACAUCGCUGUGUGCUCAGUGCCCACCCACCCCCAUCCACUUCCCUCAUCCCUCUAUCUGCAUCCCACAUCCCCAUCCCGGUACUCCCGUGUCCCUUGUCCAUUCGCAGCCCCUCCUCAUGUCCCCAUCCCUGUCCUGCUCUCCCGUGUCCCUGUUUGACUCCACCACAUCCCUCCCUGGACCACGUCCUGCCCAAUCCCUGUGUCCCAUGUCCCUCUCCUGGUCUCCACGGCCCUAUCCCUGUCCAGGUUCAGCCCCGUAUCCCAUCUCCCUCUCACGGCCCUUAUGUGCCCAUCCCACUCCCCCAUAUCCCCACCUCGCUCCUGUUCCCUACCCCAUGUAUCCGCUCCCCAUAUCCACGUCCCACCCACACCCACCCCAUAUCCCUGUCCCACCCCCUCCUCCCCGUCCCGCUCCUUUCCCCCAUCUUCUCCCCACCCCAUCCUCCCCAUCCCACCCCGCUCCGUUCCCGCACACACCGCACGGUGCCGCCCGCUCCCCUCCGAGCAGCGGCGCCGCUUCGCCGCCGCGCGGUCCCCAUAGAGGCGCGGGUCCGGGGCCGGGCUCAGCGCUGGCGGUGCCGGUUCCGGCGGCCCCGUGGUGCCGGGCCGCGUUGGUUCGCGGUGCCGGUCCCUGCCGCUCCUGCCGGUGCCGGGUGA
rnacentral:lncRNA from 1 species